CAUUUCCCAAGCAGUUCUCUGUGGAGUGUGCCAAGAUCUGGGAAGCUUAGCUAAUGAAGCUCAUUACACGAUGCACAGGGACUUCUGACCAUAUUCCAUGGUGAAGGAGGAUGGGAAGCUUCCAGUGUUGCCUUUGGAACAAUGGGGGGAAGUUGGGCGGUGAUGCUUCCCCUCGUGCAGAAAACAGGAAAAGUCCCUCAAGCAAUCCUUGUCCUUCCCUGGAGCAUUAGAAAUGAUCCUGACAAAUCCUUUCUCCACACAUCAACACAUCAAUGAUGACAUCACGAAGCUAUGAAACUCUAUUGCUGUAUUUCCUGACACACCUGAAAAAAGCAUUCUUCACUGCUCUGUUUCUCAAACUGUAUAUGAGAGGAUUGAGGAUAGGAGUCAGGACAGUGUAGAAAAGAGAGAAUAUCUUGCGAAGUUCCUUCAGUGUUUCUGUUUCAGGGACUAUAUAAAUAAGAAAAAUU
rnacentral:lncRNA from 11 species